rnacentral:rRNA from 1 species
GAUGAAAACUAGCGGCAGGCUUAAUACAUGCAAGUCGAGGGGCAGCAUGUCCCGCAGCAAUGCGGGAUGAUGGCGACCGGCAAACGGGUGCGGAACACGUACACAACCUUCCUUUUAGUGGAGAAUAGCCCAGGGGAACUUGGAUUAAUACUCCGUAACAUAUAGAAGUGGCAUCACUUUUAUAUUAUAGCUCCGGCGCUAGAAGAUGGGUGUGCGGCUGAUUAGAUAGUUGGCGGGGUAACGGCCCACCAAGUCUGCGAUCAGUAACUGGUGUGAGAGCACGACCAGUCACACGGGCACUGAGACACGGGCCCGACUCCUACGGGAGGCAGCAGUAAGGAAUAUUGGUCAAUGGACGCAAGUCUGAACCAGCCAUGCCGCGUGAAGGAUGAAGGUCCUCUGGAUUGUAAACUUCUUUUAUCUGGGACGAAAAAGGGGCUUUCUAGCUCAACUGACGGUACCAGAAGAAUAAGCACCGGCUAACUCCGUGCCAGCAGCCGCGGUAAUACGGAGGGUGCAAGCGUUAUCCGGAUUCACUGGGUUUAAAGGGAGCGUAGGCGGGCAGGUAAGUCAGUGGUGAAAUCCCCGAGCUUAACUUGGGAACUGCCAUUGAUACUAUUAAUCUUGAAUACCGUGGAGGUCAGCGGAAUAUGUCAUGUAGCGGUGAAAUGCAUAGAUAUGACAUAGAACACCAAUUGCGAAGGCAGCUGGCUACACGAAUAUUGACACUGAGGCACGAAAGCGUGGGGAUCAAACAGGAUUAGAUACCCUGGUAGUCCACGCCCUAAACGAUGGAUACUCGACAUACGCGAUACACAGUGUGUGUCUGAGCGAAAGCAUUAAGUAUCCCACCUGGGAAGUACGAUCGCAAGAUUG